UCGAGAAUCUUUCGCAAUGGGCGAAAGCCUGACGAAGCGACGCUGUGUGGGCGAUGAAGGCCUUCGGGUUGUAAAGUCCUUUCGCGCACGAACAAGAGAGGAGAUUAAAUAGAUCUCUGAUUUGAGGGUACUGCGUAAAGAAGCACCGGCUAACUCCGUGCCAGCAGCUGCGGUAAUACGGAGGGUGCAAGCAUUAAUCGGAUUUACUGGGCGUAAAGGGCGCGUAGGCGGGUGAGUAAGUCAAAUGUGAAAUUCCGGAGCUCAACUCCGGAGCGGCAUUUGAAACUGCUCAUCUAUAGAGGGAUGGCGGAGAAAAUGGAAUUCCACGUGUAGCGGUGAAAUGCGUAGAUAUGUGGAAGAACACCAGUGGCGAAAGCGGUUUUCUAGCUAUUUCCUGACGCUGAGGCGCGAGAGCAUGGGGAGCAAACAGG
rnacentral:rRNA from 1 species